AAUCAACGCUGGCGGCGUGCUUAACACAUGCAAGUCGAACGCUGAAGACCUUCGGGGUGGAUGAGUGGCGAAAGGGUGAGUAACACGUGGGCAAUCUGCCCUGCACACUGGGAUAAGCCCUGGAAACGGGGUCUAAUACUGGAUAUUUACUAUUCUGGGCAUCUGGGGUGGUGGAAAGCUUCCUUGUGGGGUGGUGUGGGAUGAGCUCGCGGCCUAUCAGCUGGUUGGUGGGGUGAUGGCCUACCAAGGCGACGACGGGUAGCCGGCCUGAGGGGGUGUCCGGCCACACUGGGACUGAGACACGGCCCAGACUCCUACGGGAGGCAGCAGUGGGUAAUAUUGCACAAUGGGCGGAAGCCUGAUGCAGCGACGCCGCGUGGGGGAUGACGGCCUUCGGGUUGUAAACCUCUUUCAGCAGGGGUGAAGCCUUCCUUUGGGGGGUGACGGUACCUGCAGAAGAAGCACCGGCUAACUACGUGCCAGCCGCCGCAGUAAAAC
rnacentral:rRNA from 1 species